UCCCAGUUCGGAUUGCAGGCUGCAACCCGCCUGCAUGAAGUUGGAAUCGCUAGUAAUCGCGGAUCAGCAUGCCGCGGUGAAUACGUUCCCGGGCCUUGUACACACCGCCCGUCACACCAUGAGAGUCGGGGACACCCGAAGUCCGUAGCCUAACCGCAAGGGGGGCGCGGCCGAAGGUGGAUUCGAUAAUUGGGGUGAAGUCGUAACAAGGUACC
rnacentral:rRNA from 1 species